rnacentral:lncRNA from 1 species
CUCACACUUCAGAGUCUUCUGAAACUCACAUUGGAGAAACAGCCAUAUGAGGGAUUUGGAGAUGAGGAAUGGGGUUUCUUCAAUAUUCAGGCAAGAUGGCUCCCAAAGUCUCAAGCCCACUGUGCUGAUUUGAGCAUUUGGCUCAGCCUUUUCUGGUCAUCACCAACGUUCACCUGGCCAUGCUGAUGGCAGCACGCAUGGAUCUGGCCAUUCCCACAGCCUGGUCACCCCAUGGUGGCCCUUGAUUGAGCUUGCCAUGGCACGGAAGGGGGCCUCUCCUACUCACCGAUCUCCUUAUUGAGGUUUAUGAGCAGGAACCAUUGCUUAAGAAAUACUCACCAUCAAGCAGAAUCAUGAGGGACAGAGCACCAUGAACUCAGGGAGCAAAGAGAACACUGUGGGGGUAUUCUUAGGGAUGGAAUCUCCACAUCAAAUCUAUUGGCAAGACCUGGAUGUUCUUGGAAAUGUGAAACAUUGAAAAUGUUGAACAUUAAUCUUCUCCUCAUCUCCAGUAUCAACACCCAACUGAGGCCACCAUCAUUUCUUGGGUUUGGGUGGACAAUUGCAACAGCCACCUAUGACUGCUGUGACUUUGUCUAUGACUCCAGUUAAUCCAUCCUCCACUCCACCGCCUGAAUGAUCUCUUCAAAAUUCACAGUAGGUAAUGACACCCCAGUGGAAAAUGCUGAUUGCCUUCUACUUAGAAUAAAUCCCAAAUUCUUUACUGUGGCCUAUAAAACCCUCAGUGCAA